rnacentral:rRNA from 1 species
GGGUUGUGAGGUUAAGCGACUAAGCGUACACGGUGGAUGCCCUGGCAGUCAGAGGCGAUGAAGGACGUGCUAAUCUGCGAAAAGCGCCGGCGAGGUGAUAUGAACCUUUGACCCGGCGAUGUCCGAAUGGGGAAACCCAGUGCAAUCCGUUGCACUAUCGUUAACUGAAUACAUAGGUUAACGAGGCGAACCGGGGGAACUGAAACAUCUAAGUACCCCGAGGAAAAGAAAUCAACCGAGAUUCCCCCAGUAGCGGCGAGCGAACGGGGAGCAGCCCGGAGUCUGAAUCAGCUUGUGUGUUAGUGGAACGGUCUGGAAAGUCCGACGGUACAGGGUGAUAGUCCCGUACACGAAAGCACACUUGCUGUGAACUCGAAGAGUAGGGCGGGACACGUGGUAUCCUGUCUGAAUAUGGGGGGACCAUCCUCCAAGGCUAAAUACUCCUGACUGACCGAUAGUGAACCAGUACCGUGAGGGAAAGGCGAAAAGAACCCCGGCGAGGGGAGUGAAAAAGAACCUGAAACCGUGUACGUACAAGCAGUGGGAGCCUCUUUAUGGGGUGACUGCGUACCUUUUGUAUAAUGGGUCAGCGACUUAUAUUCUGUAGCAAGGUUAACCGUAUAGGGGAGCCGAAGGGAAACCGAGUCUUAACUGGGCGUUAAGUUGCAGGGUAUAGACCCGAAACCCGGUGAUCUAGCCAUGGGCAGGUUGAAGGUUGGGUAACACUAACUGGAGGACCGAACCGACUAAUGUUGAAAAAUUAGCGGAUGACCUGUGGCUGGGGGUGAAAGGCCAAUCAAACCGGGAGAUAGCUGGUUCUCCCCGAAAGCUAUUUAGGUAGCGCCUCGUGAACUCAUCUUCGGGGGUAGAGCACUGUUUCGGCUAGGGGGCCAUCCCGGCUUACCAACCCGAUGCAAACUACGAAUACCGAAGAAUGUUAUCACGGGAGACACACGGCGGGUGCUAACGUCCGUCGUGAAGAGGGAAACAACCCAGACCGCCAGCUAAGGUCCCAAAGUCAUGGUUAAGUGGGAAACGAUGUGGGAAGGCACAGACAGCCAGGAUGUUGGCUUAGAAGCAGCCAUCAUUUAAAGAAAGCGUAAUAGCUCACUGGUCGAGUCGGCCUGCGCGGAAGAUGUAACGGGGCUAAACCAUGCACCGAAGCUGCGGCAGCGACACUAUGUGUUGUUGGGUAGGGGAGCGUUCUGUAAGCCGUUGAAGGUGUGCUGUGAGGCAUGCUGGAGGUAUCAGAAGUGCGAAUGCUGACAUAAGUAACGAUAAAGCGGGUGAAAAGCCCGCUCGCCGGAAGACCAAGGGUUCCUGUCCAACGUUAAUCGGGGCAGGGUGAGUCGACCCCUAAGGCGAGGCCGAAAGGCGUAGUCGAUGGGAAACAGGUUAAUAUUCCUGUACUUGGUGUUACUGCGAAGGGGGGACGGAGAAGGCUAUGUCAGCCGGGCGACGGUUGUCCCGGUUUAAGCAUGUAGGCGGAGGUUCCAGGUAAAUCCGGUACCUUUUAACGCUGAGGUGUGAUGACGAGGCACUACGGUGCUGAAGUGAUAAAUGCCCUGCUUCCAGGAAAAGCCUCUAAGCAUCAGGUAACACGAAAUCGUACCCCAAACCGACACAGGUGGUCAGGUAGAGAAUACCAAGGCGCUUGAGAGAACUCGGGUGAAGGAACUAGGCAAAAUGGUGCCGUAACUUCGGGAGAAGGCACGCUGAUGUGUAGGUGAAGCCCCUGCGUGUGGAGCUGAAAUCAGUCGAAGAUACCAGCUGGCUGCAACUGUUUAUUAAAAACACAGCACUGUGCAAACACGAAAGUGGACGUAUACGGUGUGACGCCUGCCCGGUGCCGGAAGGUUAAUUGAUGGGGUUAGCGGCAACGCGAAGCUCUUGAUCGAAGCCCCGGUAAACGGCGGCCGUAACUAUAACGGUCCUAAGGUAGCGAAAUUCCUUGUCGGGUAAGUUCCGACCUGCACGAAUGGCGUAAUGAUGGCCAGGCUGUCUCCACCCGAGACUCAGUGAAAUUGAACUCGCUGUGAAGAUGCAGUGUACCCGCGGCAAGACGGAAAGACCCCGUGAACCUUUACUAUAGCUUGACACUGAACACUGGUCCUUGAUGUGUAGGAUAGGUGGGAGGCUUUGAAGCGUGGACGCCAGUCUGCGUGGAGCCAACCUUGAAAUACCACCCUUUAAUGGCUGGUGUUCUAACGUAGACCCGUAAUCCGGGUUGCGGACAGUGUCUGGUGGGUAGUUUGACUGGGGCGGUCUCCUCCCAAAGAGUAACGGAGGAGCACGAAGGUUGGCUAAUCCUGGUCGGACAUCAGGAGGUUAGUGCAAUGGCAUAAGCCAGCUUGACUGCGAGCGUGACGGCGCGAGCAGGUGCGAAAGCAGGUCAUAGUGAUCCGGUGGUUCUGAAUGGAAGGGCCAUCGCUCAACGGAUAAAAGGUACUCCGGGGAUAACAGGCUGAUACCGCCCAAGAGUUCAUAUCGACGGCGGUGUUUGGCACCUCGAUGUCGGCUCAUCACAUCCUGGGGCUGAAGUAGGUCCCAAGGGUAUGGCUGUUCGCCAUUUAAAGUGGUACGCGAGCUGGGUUUAGAACGUCGUGAGACAGUUCGGUCCCUAUCUGCCGUGGGCGCUGGAGAAUUGAGGGGGGCUGCUCCUAGUACGAGAGGACCGGAGUGGACGCAUCACUGGUGUUCGGGUUGUCAUGCCAAUGGCACUGCCCGGUAGCUAAAUGCGGAAGAGAUAAGUGCUGAAAGCAUCUAAGCACGAAACUUGCCCCGAGAUGAGUUCUCCCUGAGACCUUGAGUCUCCUGAAGGAACGUUGAAGACGACGACGUUGAUAGGUCGGGUGUGUAAGCGCAGCGAUGCGUUGAGCUAACCGAUACUAAUGAACCGUGAGGCUUAACCUUACAACGCCGAAGGUGUUU